AAAUUAUACGAAGGGACCCAACACAGAAAAUUCAUUUUAUUGAAUUUUACAUUUAUGUGCAAGUUGGGAAAAAUGUCUUAUUUUUUCAAAGUAUUUAAAAGUAAAAUUACAUGUUAAUACGUAGUAUUAAUGGCGAGACUCCUGAGGGAGCAGUGCCAGUCGAAGACCGAGGCUGAGACGGCACCCUAGGAAAGCGAAGCCAUUCAAUACGAAGUAUUGUAUAAAUAGAGAACAGCAG
rfam:Staphylococcus aureus subsp. aureus NCTC 8325, complete genome.